UACGGAGGGUGCGAGCGUUGUCCGGAAUCACUGGGCGUAAAGGGCGCGUAGGCGGCCCUGGCAGUCGGUGGUGAAAGCCCGUGGCUCAACUGCGGGUCGGCCACCGAUACUCCAGGGCUCGAGUUUGGUAGAGGCAGAGGGAAUUCCCGGUGGAGCGGUGAAAUGCGUAGAGAUCGGGAAGAACGCCAAGGGCGAAGGCACUCUGCUAGGCCUGAUUUCGCGACUGACACUCAGGGACGAGAGCCAGGGGAGCGAAUGGG
rnacentral:rRNA from 1 species